GACGAACGCUGGCGGCGUGCUUAACACAUGCAAGUCGAACGGAAAGGCCCUGCUUUUGUGGGGUGCUCGAGUGGCGAACGGGUGAGUAACACGUGAGUAACCUGCCCUUGACUUUGGGAUAACUUCAGGAAACUGGGGCUAAUACCGGAUAGGAGCUCCUGCUGCAUGGUGGGGGUUGGAAAGUUUCGGCGGUUGGGGAUGGACUCGCGGCUUAUCAGCUUGUUGGUGGGGUAGUGGCUUACCAAGGCUUUGACGGGUAGCCGGCCUGAGAGGGUGACCGGCCACAUUGGGACUGAGAGACGGCCCAGACGCCUACGGGAGGCAGCAGUGGGGAAUAUUGCACAAUGGGCGGAAGCCUGAUGCAGCAACGCCGCGUGCGGGAUGACGGCCUUCGGGUUGUAAACCGCUUUCGCCUGUGACGAAGCGUGAGUGACGGUAAUGAGUAAAGAAGCACCGGCUAACUACGUG
rnacentral:rRNA from 1 species